AUUUCCUAGUAACAUAAACCAAAAUUCUUACUGCCUUGGAACGAUACAGAGAAGAUUAGCAUGGCCCCUGAGCAAGGGUGACACGGAAAUUCGUGAAGCGUUCCAUAUAUUU
ensembl:snRNA U6 U6 spliceosomal RNA